rfam:Gorilla gorilla gorilla genomic chromosome, chr11, whole genome shotgun sequence
AAAAAGGUUUUUUUAAAAACUAAAGAUGAGUUUGGUACGAAUGUUAU